UGCUUAACACAUGCAAGUCGAACGGUGAAAGAGGAAGCUUGCUUCUUCUGGAUCAGUGGCGAACGGGUGAGUAACACGUGAGUAACCUGCCCUUGACUCUGGGAUAAGCGUUGGAAACGACGUCUAAUACCGGAUACGAGCUUCAGCCGCAUGGCUAGGAGCUGGAAAGAACUUCGGUCAAGGAUGGACUCGCGGCCUAUCAGCUAGUUGGUGAGGUAACGGCCCACCAAGGCGACGACGGGUAGCCGGCCUGAGAGGGUGACCGGCCACACUGGGACUGAGACACGGCCCAGACUCCUACGGGAGGCAGCAGUGGGGAAUAUUGCACAAUGGGCGCAAGCCUGAUGCAGCAACGCCGCGUGAGGGACGACGGCCUUCGGGUUGUAAACCUCUUUUAGUAGGGAAGAAGCGAAAGUGACGGUAC
rnacentral:rRNA from 1 species